UCGCCUUGUAGCUGCUUAUGGUAUAUAUGUAAAUGCUUUCAACUUAUCGAGUUUGAUUGUUAUCGCGAUUCCGCGGUACAUAUUUUUAGAAAAGAAAAAUCUGAAAACUUGUCAACAACAUGUUGAAAACGGUAGUACCAUAGCGGAUUGACUAAGCACGUCAGAGAAAUCUGCUGCUAUUUUAAGAUUUUUAUUUGUUUUCAAAUUGGUAAAUCUCUGAGGGUAUUUCUGCCACGAAAAAGCUUCUCAUAAAAAGCUAGCUGUCGUUCGGAGGCGUCAUAAAACUGAAGAUCCCUCCAUUUGUGGAAAACAUCAAGACGCAUUCCUCAAAUUGGAGGAGGAGUUCGGCCAAACAUUCAACAAUGCACUAGGUAUAAAACUAAUGACGAUGGCGGUACACACUUACAGUAAAUGCUUUAUGAGAACACCUGAGGAGAUUUCGUUCGGUAAGAACUCGAUUUAGUAUUGUCGGUAUGAAACUGCUUCCUAGAACUCAAAUGUGA